rnacentral:rRNA from 1 species
AUUGAACGCUGGCGGCAGGCCUAACACAUGCAAGUCGAGCGGAGCGGCGGACGGGUGAGUAACGCCUAGGUAUCUGCCUGUUAGUGGGGGAUAACGUCCGGAAACGGGCGCUAAUACCGCAUACUAUCAGAUGAGCCUAGCUGGGAUUAGCUAGUUGGUGGGGUAAAGGCCUACCAAGGCGACGAUCCGUAACUGGUCUGAGAGGAUGAUCAGUCACACUGGAACUGAGACACGGUCCAGACGCCUACGGGAGGCAGCAGUGGGGAAUAGUGGGCAAUGGGCGCAAGCCUGGUGCAGCCAUGCCGCGUGUAUGAAGAAGGCCUUCGGGUUGUAAAGUACUGUCAGCGGGGAGGCGUUACCCGCAGAAGAAGCACCGGCUAACUCCGUGCCAGCAGCCGCGGUAAUUC